GAAGGGAAGGGACCAGCGAAGGCCGCGCCGCGCUCCGUCGCGCCUUCCUUCCCCGUCUCCCCGGCGUUGUCCUGGGGUCUGAAACCCCGGGUGGUGGGAGAGGGCUGGGAAGCUUGAAACUUUUCCGUGCGUCGUUGUGUCGGCCCUGUUAACGGGCCUAAAAUGCAGAAGUAUGUUCUCCUCUCCUGACCUUCCCUGUGAAAAGGCCGCGACAGGGUCAACCAGCUACGUGAUCUCUCACCGUUUAAUCUCGACCCACCCGAAGCGCCCGUCAUACGCUGGGCUGUGCUUAAACUGGGAAGAAGACGUGUUCACCUCGGCGCCUCGGGAAAACGCACCACAAAAUCCAGGAGUUAGGUUGGACGUGAAACUCAAACCAGCAGCCUAAGUUCUAUUUUACAGCUUCUAGUAAUUUCCUUCCCCUUUUUUAUUUUUUCAUUCAUUCUGACUCCCCUGAGCUAAAACUUGUUCCUGUUCUGGGCUGUACUUUAGCGCAGGAUGAGAGGGACUGAUAGAAAAUCCAAGUUGUAACAGAAUCUAAAAGCUUCAUCUAGACUUUGUAUGAAUGCAGACCUGGGAGGCAGGGGUGCUGCAGGCGAGAGUUACUUUGUAGGUUGCCUUCACAACAGGGAACUCGAAAAGCCUAUUUUUCUUCUUCAAAUCAAACAGUGAUUAUAUGGUUUUGAGACAGGUGGAACUGAAUUUUGCAACUGAAUUACUUAACGGUGCCAUAGCUGACCAGGGAUUUUAUGAUAUUUACAGUUCUGGGAGAUGGGCCGUUUGUAUUCCUUGAGGCCUGUAUGGGGUUGGGUUUAUAUGCAGAUCUAUAAAAGCCAAUUUGGGAGGAAAAAGAAGCGAAUGACCUUUAAUGCUGCAAAGAAGGCAAACGGAUACUGCUAUAGAAGGUUAGCUGAAAUGUGGCCAGCCGAGUAAAGCACAGUAGAAAUGUGGCUGUAGGUAUUAUUUUUUAAUGUAUACUGAGAACAAAGGAACCUUGAAAAUAAUGUUGCUCCAUCGCAUGAUACAGCAAAGUUGACGAUAAAGAGGCAGAAAAGGUUUGUAUCAAAUAUUCCUGUACUGCACUUGGGAAAAAGACAAAUAUUGCAGACAGAACACAUGAUGAAAUACUUUUCCACCGUUCUCAAGCAAAUAUUUGUCGACUAGCUGAUACCAAUGUUUUUGCUGUAAAGCAGAUAGAGAGCUAACUGAGUCUUUCUCUUCUCAAUUAACACUGAUAUGAAUAGGUUUGAAACACGAAACACCUUCCGAAUAAGAGCACUAAUGCUACCUAAUGUUUAGAAAGAACUAAAUGAGGUGGUUUAGUAAUAGAUUGUCAAUCCCAGGGAAGUAAUUGAAUGUUUGUAUAUACAGGUUUACUUAUUGCUUUAAUCAACCCUAAGCAUGAAUUUAUGGAAUAAAUAUCUCAUCAAAUCAA